rnacentral:rRNA from 1 species
UACGUAGGGACCAAGCGUUGUUCGGAUUUACUGGGCGUAAAGGGCGCGUAGGCGGCUUAACAAGUCACUUGUGAAAUCUCCGGGCUUAACUCGGAACGGCCAAGUGAAACUGUCAAGCUAGAGUGCAGAAGGGGCAAUCGGAAUUCUUGGUGUAGCGGUGAAAUGCGUAGAUAUCAAGAGGAACACCUGAGGUGAAGGCGGGUUGCUGGGCUGACACUGACGCUGAGGCGCGAAAGCCAGGGGAGCAAACAGG